UAAAAACACAAGCCUCAAGAUUAAAAUUACAUGAAAUCAAGCUCAGCCAAGGUAGCUAAUAAAGCUCAAGGACUUUCUUCCAGGAUGGCCUGUUGCUAAUAUCAUCCCACCAAGCACUCACAUGCUUUCUGUCUCUAAUCAUGUACUCCUUCUCCAUCGGCCCAACCAAGUAUUGAGUAAAUGGAAGGUGACUCAGAUCAGCCAGGCUGAAGAAAUCUCCUGCCAAAUACUUGCUCUUUGAGAGCCUCUCCUCGUAAACAUCAAGAACUUUUCCAAGUUUUUCUUCACUCUUCUUUACCAAUUUUUCAUCAACAGAAAGUCCCAACUUGGAGGCAAAUAAAAGUUGCACAGUCAUCUCGUAAAUUGGUGGGUGAUAGUUGUGUGCCUCUACCUCUAGCCAUUGCUCCACAAGGCCUCUUUCUUCAGUUGUUUUUCCCAGAAGUUCGGUUCCUUGAGACCUGUACUUUUCGGCGUAGUACCUUAUGAUAGCUCGAGAUUCUGUAAAUGAAUCAUUAACUUGAAAUGUUAAACUUAUAACUAGAAUACAAAACUAGUAAUUUUGAAAGCUUAAAUUUUCCUUUUAAUCUCUAGAGUUUGCUUGAUUUACUCUGUUACCUCUUUUAUCUUAAGAAGUUAUCCAAAAUGUUUGUGCAGUUACUUUUCAUAACUAUAUAUGGAUAUGAUUUUUCAAUAAUAGAAUAGAAUUUUUCUGACAUAAUAAUUUAAAAUAUAAACAAAAUUGGCGUGCAACUAGGGAUGACAAUUUUUCCCGAUGGGAUGGGAUCCUGCGGGAUCUCAUCCCAUUUAGGACGGGAUUCGGACAUAUUUUUGUACCAUAAAAAAAUUUAGGGACGGGUGUGAGACAUUUUUUUAUCCCAAUUACAUAUGCGGGACGGAAGUGGGAUUGACAAAUUCCGUCCCAUCCCGCCUCAUUGCUGAUUAAGAAUGGAAAGUUUUUUAAUUGGGAUGGGAUCCCGCAGGAUCUCAUCUCUUUGGGGAGGGGAUUUGAACAUAUUUUUGUCCUAAAAAAAAUAUAGGGACGAGACUGAGACAUUUUUUUAUCCCAUGUACAUAUACGGGACGGGACUGAAAUUGAUAAAUCUCAUCACAUCCCAUCUCAUUGCCAACCCUACAUGCAACCGACUUGAAGUAAAGAAUAAUCAAGUAAAGUUUAACGAAAACAAAAUUUUCAAUACCAUUUUGGAUAAUUUAAGAAAAAAAUCUCACAAACUAUCUGUUUAAUUAACUUAAAUCUAAAGACAUAAAAGUAUUUACUCUUAAUUAAAUUUUACAUUUCAAUUUGAAAGUGGAAGGAGUACCGUAUAACGUAAAAUCUCCAUCUUGAAUGACAGGCAGAGCACCGAAAGGCUGUAUAUAUAAUUUUGUCAGAAUUGAAAACAAAAGAGUAAUUAAUUAAUCGAAGCAUCGAGACACACGAUCAUCAAUUAAUGAAUGAAGUGAUUAGAUAAUGCAUACAUGCAUAAUAUAUUUAUAAAAAAAAAAUUGCUGAUUAAAUUAAUGAACCUGCAAUUUGAGGUACUCAGGAUUUCUAUGCUCUCCUUUGAUGAGAUCAACGGGAGCAGUUUCAAAUUCGAUUUGCUUCUCAAUCAAGCACACAAUCACUCGUUUGGGAGAAGCAUAAGCUGGACCAUACACCUUUACCACCAUUGUUGUUGCUUUUGCUAUUCUCUUUCUUAACUUUUUCUCUCAAUAAAAAGCAGUGAGUGAGUUUGUGAUGCUGGGCAGUUUGCUUAUCCCCUUUAUAUAGGCAAAUAUAGUGCCAAAGUGGGAUUUUUUCAUUAUAUAUUAAUUUACAGCCACUGGUAGGAAGUUAUGUCAAGGAAGGUCGUAGAUAAGCGCACGCCAUCAUGUGUAUUGUCCUAUCUUUCACGCAAGGAAAAAAAAAAUAAAUAAACUUACAAUUUCCAUAGAAAGACUCGCGUAAAGAAUUGACUUUUGAAAACAAAAAUUAAAUUGGAGGCACUUUCUUGAUGGAGUGACUGCUUCUAACACCCCAGUAAAAUACUGGACACACCCCAUCUGUAAUAACCCGGCCAAUUAAAAAAUAGACAUAAUUAACUCUUUCUAUAAACACUCUUUGUAAUUACAUAAAUAACUUGCCGAUGGCCGUGGCCGUGGCAGUGGCAAUGGUAGCGGCCGUGGUUAUGGCGAUGGAAGUGGUCGUGGGCGUGGCAGGGGUAGAUGUGGCAGGUGUGGACAUGGAUGAUUGCAAAUUGAUUAUAGAUUAAGUAGUCCCAAGAAACUAGGAGAUAAUUGCCUUAACCAAUUUCACAUUUUCGGGCUUUUCUUCAAUUCUCACUUUAAUACCCAUUUUUCAAGGAAAUUGUUCACGCCAGCAAGUUACGCCAGUAGGUAUCUUGACCUGCUUUUUGCAGUCUGUAUUUUGAAAUUUUGCCAUCCUCUCCCCUAAACCUGCUCCACGUUGCAUACCUCAAUUAGUCCAUUGUCUUUGCAGUUCAACCUGACAUCGGUUUCUACAUUUGAUUGCUUGAAUUAUGUGCUUCUUGUUCUUGCUCCUGGUUAAUUGGUUUUGCUCUUUAUAUAUGCUCGCUUCUACCCUUUUUUUUUAAGUUCAACGCUUCUCUGUUUUAUUUUCUUUCAAAUCACAACAUUAUGGAUCAGGUAGUCCCAAGAAACUAGUAGGCAGCAAACCAGCAACCGCAGGACUAGUAGGCGUAACACCAACAGCUGCCAAAUCAUAUUCUGGGCUUACCGUUGUUUUACAACUUUCUCAAUCAAAUCGUGGAGUCCUAUUAUGCAAACUAUGAGCACGGUCGACACUAUGACAAGUAUAUUCUGCCUUUUGUCCUAGGAAACAAUUAACAAAUAAUAGUUAUAAGGACUUUAGCUUCCAACUGUGGACAACCUGCCGGUGAUGGUGGCCGUGGAGAUGGUGAUAGUAGUGGCCGUGGUUAUGGCGAUGAAAGUGGUCGUGGGCGUGGCAGGGGUGAAUGUGGCAGGUGUGGAUAUUAAUGAUUGCAAAUUCAUUAUGGAUCAGGUAGUCCCCAAAAAACUAGGAGUCAUUUGCCUUCCUUAGCCAAUUUCACAUUUUCGCACUUUUCUUCAAUUCUCGCUUUAACACCCAUUUUUCCAGAAAAAAUUUUCACGCCAACAUGUAUCUUGACCUGCUUUAUGCAGUUUAUAUUUUGAAAUUUUGCCAUCCUAUACCCUAGCAUUAAUGGGUCAUCAACCACCUGCUCCAUAUUGCAUACCUCCAUUAGUCCAUUGUCUUUACAAUUCAAUCUGGCUCCGGUUUCUGCAUUCAGGUUGCUUGAACUUUGCGCUGGUUGUUCUUGCUCCUGGUUAAUCGGUUUUGCUGCUUUAUAUAUGCUCGCCUCUCUUUUUUUUUUUUUAACUUCACCACUUCUCCGUUUUAUUUUCUUUUUUUAACUUCACCACUUCUCCGUUUUAUUUUCUUUCAAAUCACAACAUUAUGGAUCAGGUAGUCCCAAGAAAUUAGGAGCCAGCAAACAAGUAACAGUAGGACUUGCAGCCGCAGCACCAGCAGCUUCCAAACCAGAUUCUGAGCUUACUGUUGUUUUGGGACUUUUUCAAUCAAAUCGUGGAGUUCUAUUAUGCAAAACAUGAGCACGGCAAUUAAGUCAUUGAGCUUUUGGCAAUUGUUUUGAACAUUAGCACGGGGUUGACUUCUGUACUUAUAUGCCACUUAAGCCACUCGAUUUUCAGUAUAUUUUGGAAUGCCUUAUAGGAGCUCCACAUAUUCUCAUAGUGAAUUCUAUUGAAAUUUCUUCUCUCAUACACAAGACUUCGUUGCCGUUCUCUAAUCAUAUUCGGAUAGUGAUCAAACUCCCAAUGGAUCAAGUUGAAAUUAGAUCAACAUGAAACUCAGCUCUUCAUUCUUGGUUGUAGAAAAAUCUAUCUAAUUUUUUCUCUAUGCAAUAUGGUCCAAGUUGUCUGUUAGACCAAGUAAACGGAUGACCUCUACUCUCCAAAUCAAUUAGCUUACAUUCUUUCACAGCAUCACUAAAUUCGGCAAUCACAUUGGCAUUUCUAUCCAAACCCCCAGUUUUCUUAUUUGAAUACAGGAUCUCAUUAAAGUCACUAAAACACAGCCAUGGGAGAGAGGACAAACCUGACAUUCUUCUCAAAAGAGUCCAGCUGUGCUUUUUUGUAUUUGAUUUAGGGUACCUAUACUCCUGUGCAUCUCCAAAAUUUCCCAUUCACGUGCUGAACAUGCAUGCCUAUGUGGUGUCUGUUGUAGGAUUUAAGUUGAAUAUCAAUAUCCUUACUCUAUAAUAAGGCAAAGCCACCAGUCUUUCCAACUUCAUCAGUAGCAAAAUAACUAUCUAGAAUCAUCGUUCUACACGCUUAUUUGACAUGCACAUUUGUCAAUUUGGUUUCAUAAAGAAACACCAGCUGAGACUUCUGCAAUUGGAGGAUUUUCUUCAAUGCUAGGCACGUUCGGGGAUUCCCCAAAUCUCAAACGUUCCAGCUUAUGAUUUUCAUGGCUGUCAGUGGGGUUGGUUUCCAGCCUCUGCCGCUACAUUCUCUGUAAACCUCCUUUGUCCAUAUUUCAAACUUCUUGUUUCUUCCACCCACAAAAGAUUAAAUUUUACUGGGGAAAGUUGAGUUUGCUUGGCUUGUGAAUCACCCAGGCUCCUCAUUUUAAUUUUUUUGCAUUCUGGGCUUGGUUUUAUUUAUUCUUCCACGGGCCGCUUGAGUGAAAUUAGCCCAACAUUUCCGGCCCGUGUAAUUACUCUUUCCCUUACUUCCAAUUUCCAUUUCUUGAUUUCUUCCUCUUAUCUUUCACAAAUGUGCAUAUCCCAGCUACUUCUGUUUCAGUAUGCUUUUGUAUUUGGUCCAUAUUGUCUCUCAGUAGGGGUGGGCAUGCGUUGGUUUGGAUUGGGUUUUAAGACAAUCCAAAUUAAACCAUAAAAGUUUGGUUCAACUCAAACCAAUUCAAAUGUUUUCAACCCAACCCAAACCAAUCCAUUUGGGUUUGGUUUGAAAUUUAUUAUCAAAAUAAUUUUUAUUUUGAUAAAUUUAAUUAUAUAAAAAUUAUAAUAAUUAUUAAUUGUUAUUAAUUAUUUUUUUAAUUCAAUUUUUAUUAAUGAUUAAAUUCAUACUAAAAUAUGAAAAAAAUAUAGUGGAUAAAAAUUACAAAUAAUAAAUUUUACAAUAACUUAAUCCUUAAAUUAAAGAAUACUAGAAAAUUAAAAUAAAGUUUAAUCACAAAAAUCAUUAAUUCUCAAUAAAUAAGAACGUAAACUCUAAUAAUAAACUUCCACAAACAUGACAUCAACAGGUAAAUUCAAAGAAAGAAAAUAAAAAAAAAACUUAUGUGAGUGCCAUUUAGUUAAAAUAAUAAAAUUUCUAUGUAUCCUUUGACUUAUAAUUAUUGAGAUGAUAAUUUUCUAUCAAAUGGUGUUUUUUUUUUUCAAUAGGUUGAUUGCUCAUAAAUUUCAGGAUGGAGGAUCAUUGUCAAUAAAUCCCAUCAAAAUAAAAAAAUGGAGUAUUAUUUAUGCUACAGUAUCAAUAUAGCACACAAAAUGUUAAUUUUAUUUAUAAUAAGGCUUUAUAAUUUCUAACAUAAUAAUAUUUUAUCAAUGGCGAAAUAUCAUUUCUCAUAAUUAUUAAUUAUUUCCUUCCAAUGGCUAGGUAACUAUGCCCUCAAAAACCAUCUCAACAUUAUUACUAUAAUUUUUCUUGAUUUAAAUACAAAAACAACAAUAUAGAUUUGGUGUUUUUCUUAUUACUGUUAGAAACAUAAAAGCGGUAAUUACGUAAGUAUAAUAUGAGUUCAUAAAUUGAAAAAAAAAAUGAUUUCAUUUCAUCAAACCCUAAUUUCAUCUCAUUUAAUUAUUUACAGUAGCAUUUAUUUAAUUUAGAUUUGUUUUUACAUAUUGUUUUCCUUUUCUAACUGUUAACAAUUGAUCACGUCGUGAACAAUUUAAUAAUGACCUUUCACUUAUUUGUUUUUGUUUUCAUUUAUUUCAUUUGACAAGUUUGAGUAUUGUGGUUUUGUUCAUGACCCAUGGGUAAACUAUACCCAACCCAUAAUAAAAUGAUUUUUUAUAUAAAAUCCAUAUUUAAUCCAUUUUCAUACUUUACUCAACCCAAACCAUUUAAUUUGGUUUGGAUUUGGUUAAACCCAUGGAUUGUGGGUUUAUGCCCAGCCCUAUCUCUCAGCAUAUUUAGGCCCAUUGAGCCCAUAUUCUUUUUUUCAAUCUCCAAUGCAUUUUCCCACUUAUUCUUUUCACUGUUUCCCGCUAAAUUGCUCAUUUUUAUAGACAUUAGCUCCCCAUCAGCUAUCUCUGUAGCAUUGCUAUAGUUUAUAGUAUGUUGUUUAUUAUCCCCUCCAUGCUUCAUUAAUGAGCCUGCAGUUAAUCCUUCCACGUGGAUGAUCUUUGUUGGCUUUGUGCUGAUCCCAUUGUGAGAUUGGGUUGCCCCAGAUCCAUCUCUCACACAUUGCUUACCCUGGCCCGUUUUUUAUUGAAUUCGUUCUUCUUGUUAUUGGUUUUCCAAUGCUGACUAUGACGCUCUUUGCUUCCUAUUCCAAAGUUCUUAAUCGUUCUCUGCUUGGCUCUUUCCUCUCUUGUCAGUGCUUUCAUCCAUGCUCCAUAUGUUAACUAUCUUUUGGCUACCCUUUUUACUCAAGACACUCCUUACAUUGAUGCUAAAUUAGCCCACAAUAGAAGCAAAAGUCAGGCAAUUUUUCAUAAGCGAUUCAAUAAAAAUCCUCUCACUAUCUUCUAGUUUUAACAACAACCUUUUUUCAGUGAUUGUGUUACAUCUAUCGAGAUUCUUAGGCGAGAAAAAUGAGCCAAAACAUUCCCCUGUUUCAUCCAUUUCCACCUCCUCAACCUUACCAAUCUUUUUUCCUAUAUCCCUCAUUAUGUCUUUAUCCAUUCACAUAAUAGGUGCAUUGUGAAUUUGCACCCAAAAUGAUGUAUGGUUGAAAGCCUGCUGCUUAAUGUUACCCACAUUGGAUGGUUCUAUGAGCACCAUUAGCAGGUUGUUGAAGUGCCAUGCUCCUCCAUGCAAUAUCCUCUUUUUUUUGCUUUCUGAGGCAAAUUUAAAGAUGAAGACGUUUUCACCUAGACUCUCCACUUUCAAUUCCUUUAUUGAUCUCCAUACUUGUUGGAUCGUUGCUCUAAGCCCUUCACGGGAGACUCCACGUGUAUGAAAUAUUUUUCCAACGAGACAAUGUGCUGCAACUUUCUGUCCUUUAGCUUUCAUUCUUCCCCCAAAGUUGAUCAUAUUGUCUUCUUCUGAUUUUACGCUUAUGGCUUCACGUUUACGUAUGAAUUCAUCAGCGUCCAUCUCUCCUUUUAAAGCAGAUCAGUUGAACUAAAAAACUCACCAACUUCUCACCAACCCUUUUAACUAUAUUGAUUCCCCUUACCAUGUUUAAUACUCUUACCAAUUUCCCCCUUCCAGUUUUUUUUUAAUGUUUUCCACCCACCCUGCGAGUGACACUCCGCCACUCAACCCGUGAGUGAGUGACAAAUUUGGAUCACCAAGGAUCCUUUACUUCAUCAAUUCUAGGCUCUCUUUGAGAGAGAACUGUCUAGAAGGAUACUUUUUUCCUUUAUUUUCAGUAACUUAAUGAAUAUUUAGUAUUGCUUUGGCAUGUGAGAUUGUUGGAUUUUUAGAAUUUGGAGAAUUGCUAUUGACUUCUAAUUCUCGGCAGCUUUUCUUUGAAACAUUGAUUAAUUUUGAAUGGUUUUCAAUUGAUGGGAAUUCUGGGAUUUGUUUGCAGCUUGCGAUUUGGGGAUUUGCUAUUCACGUGAUUGGGGGGUUGCUUUCACAUUUGUCCUUUUUUGUUUCCUCUAAUUACUUUUAUUUUAGCUUUCACAUUAAUGUUAGUGAAGAAUGUAAAAGGACUUUUUAAUUCAAUUUUUAUUAAUGAUUAAAUUCAUACUAAAAUAUGAAAAAAAUAUAGUGGAUAAAAAUUACAAAUAAUAAAUUUUACAAUAACUUAAUCCUUAAAUUAAAGAAUACUAGAAAAUUAAAAUAAAGUUUAAUCACAAAAAUCAUUAAUUCUCAAUAAAUAAGAACGUAAACUCUAAUAAUAAACUUCCACAAACAUGACAUCAACAGGUAAAUUCAAAGAAAGAAAAUAAAAAAAAAACUUAUGUGAGUGCCAUUUAGUUAAAAUAAUAAAAUUUCUAUGUAUCCUUUGACUUAUAAUUAUUGAGAUGAUAAUUUUCUAUCAAAUGGUGUUUUUUUUUUUCAAUAGGUUGAUUGCUCAUAAAUUUCAGGAUGGAGGAUCAUUGUCAAUAAAUCCCAUCAAAAUAAAAAAAUGGAGUAUUAUUUAUGCUACAGUAUCAAUAUAGCACACAAAAUGUUAAUUUUAUUUAUAAUAAGGCUUUAUAAUUUCUAACAUAAUAAUAUUUUAUCAAUGGCGAAAUAUCAUUUCUCAUAAUUAUUAAUUAUUUCCUUCCAAUGGCUAGGUAACUAUGCCCUCAAAAACCAUCUCAACAUUAUUACUAUAAUUUUUCUUGAUUUAAAUACAAAAACAACAAUAUAGAUUUGGUGUUUUUCUUAUUACUGUUAGAAACAUAAAAGCGGUAAUUACGUAAGUAUAAUAUGAGUUCAUAAAUUGAAAAAAAAAAUGAUUUCAUUUCAUCAAACCCUAAUUUCAUCUCAUUUAAUUAUUUACAGUAGCAUUUAUUUAAUUUAGAUUUGUUUUUACAUAUUGUUUUCCUUUUCUAACUGUUAACAAUUGAUCACGUCGUGAACAAUUUAAUAAUGACCUUUCACUUAUUUGUUUUUGUUUUCAUUUAUUUCAUUUGACAAGUUUGAGUAUUGUGGUUUUGUUCAUGACCCAUGGGUAAACUAUACCCAACCCAUAAUAAAAUGAUUUUUUAUAUAAAAUCCAUAUUUAAUCCAUUUUCAUACUUUACUCAACCCAAACCAUUUAAUUUGGUUUGGAUUUGGUUAAACCCAUGGAUUGUGGGUUUAUGCCCAGCCCUAUCUCUCAGCAUAUUUAGGCCCAUUGAGCCCAUAUUCUUUUUUUCAAUCUCCAAUGCAUUUUCCCACUUAUUCUUUUCACUGUUUCCCGCUAAAUUGCUCAUUUUUAUAGACAUUAGCUCCCCAUCAGCUAUCUCUGUAGCAUUGCUAUAGUUUAUAGUAUGUUGUUUAUUAUCCCCUCCAUGCUUCAUUAAUGAGCCUGCAGUUAAUCCUUCCACGUGGAUGAUCUUUGUUGGCUUUGUGCUGAUCCCAUUGUGAGAUUGGGUUGCCCCAGAUCCAUCUCUCACACAUUGCUUACCCUGGCCCGUUUUUUAUUGAAUUCGUUCUUCUUGUUAUUGGUUUUCCAAUGCUGACUAUGACGCUCUUUGCUUCCUAUUCCAAAGUUCUUAAUCGUUCUCUGCUUGGCUCUUUCCUCUCUUGUCAGUGCUUUCAUCCAUGCUCCAUAUGUUAACUAUCUUUUGGCUACCCUUUUUACUCAAGACACUCCUUACAUUGAUGCUAAAUUAGCCCACAAUAGAAGCAAAAGUCAGGCAAUUUUUCAUAAGCGAUUCAAUAAAAAUCCUCUCACUAUCUUCUAGUUUUAACAACAACCUUUUUUCAGUGAUUGUGUUACAUCUAUCGAGAUUCUUAGGCGAGAAAAAUGAGCCAAAACAUUCCCCUGUUUCAUCCAUUUCCACCUCCUCAACCUUACCAAUCUUUUUUCCUAUAUCCCUCAUUAUGUCUUUAUCCAUUCACAUAAUAGGUGCAUUGUGAAUUUGCACCCAAAAUGAUGUAUGGUUGAAAGCCUGCUGCUUAAUGUUACCCACAUUGGAUGGUUCUAUGAGCACCAUUAGCAGGUUGUUGAAGUGCCAUGCUCCUCCAUGCAAUAUCCUCUUUUUUUUGCUUUCUGAGGCAAAUUUAAAGAUGAAGACGUUUUCACCUAGACUCUCCACUUUCAAUUCCUUUAUUGAUCUCCAUACUUGUUGGAUCGUUGCUCUAAGCCCUUCACGGGAGACUCCACGUGUAUGAAAUAUUUUUCCAACGAGACAAUGUGCUGCAACUUUCUGUCCUUUAGCUUUCAUUCUUCCCCCAAAGUUGAUCAUAUUGUCUUCUUCUGAUUUUACGCUUAUGGCUUCACGUUUACGUAUGAAUUCAUCAGCGUCCAUCUCUCCUUUUAAAGCAGAUCAGUUGAACUAAAAAACUCACCAACUUCUCACCAACCCUUUUAACUAUAUUGAUUCCCCUUACCAUGUUUAAUACUCUUACCAAUUUCCCCCUUCCAGUUUUUUUUUAAUGUUUUCCACCCACCCUGCGAGUGACACUCCGCCACUCAACCCGUGAGUGAGUGACAAAUUUGGAUCACCAAGGAUCCUUUACUUCAUCAAUUCUAGGCUCUCUUUGAGAGAGAACUGUCUAGAAGGAUACUUUUUUCCUUUAUUUUCAGUAACUUAAUGAAUAUUUAGUAUUGCUUUGGCAUGUGAGAUUGUUGGAUUUUUAGAAUUUGGAGAAUUGCUAUUGACUUCUAAUUCUCGGCAGCUUUUCUUUGAAACAUUGAUUAAUUUUGAAUGGUUUUCAAUUGAUGGGAAUUCUGGGAUUUGUUUGCAGCUUGCGAUUUGGGGAUUUGCUAUUCACGUGAUUGGGGGGUUGCUUUCACAUUUGUCCUUUUUUGUUUCCUCUAAUUACUUUUAUUUUAGCUUUCACAUUAAUGUUAGUGAAGAAUGUAAAAGGACCCUAUUAUCCUAUAACAUAUUAAGUUCAUGCAUCAAGUGAGUGCCGGGUGAAGUUAGUAUUUUCACAUCUAAUUUUUCAUAAAAUUCCCAAAACUUUUCUAAAUUUUUGCAAGUGCCGAGACACCCUCUAGUCUUAUGCAAACUCCACCCGUAGUUAAGAAAUUGUGGGUAACUUGUGCGUGUAAAAUGCUCAGAUUGAUUACACUCUUUUACCCCGGCAAAGCAGCAUUUUUAGAGGACAUGUCGAUAUCAUUACUACCCAAAAAAAAUACAAGACCUCUUCUAUUUGAAUAAAUAAACAACUUGCAAUAAAGUAAAAGACACUGUCUAACCCAUUUUUUUUUUUUAAAAAAAAAAGCAGUAUAAAAAAAAAAAAGACUCAAGCCUAAAAACAAAAGGUCCAACUCCAAACAUUUAUUUAUUGAAACACAUAUGCAAGAUACAUAUCCCACAGACAGAAACAAACCAAGUAGUAGAGAAGUAAAACACAAGCCCGAAAAUUGAAACACAUACAAUCAAGCUCAGCCGAAAGGAGUCUUACAAAGUUCAAGGACUUUCUUCCAGGACGGCCUGUUGCUAAUAUCAUCCCACCAAGCACUCACAUGCUUCCUGUCUCUAAUCAUAUGCUGUCUCCCCAUCGGCCCAACCAAGUAGUGGGUAAAUGGAAUGUGACUCAGAUCAGCCAGGCUGAAGAAAUCACCAGCCAAAUACUUGCUCUUUGAGAGCCUCUCCUCGUAAACGUCGAGCGUUUUUCCAAGCUUUUCGUCACUCUCCUUCACCAAUUUUUCAUCAACGGGACGUCCAAACUUGGAAGAAAAUAAAAGUUGGAUGGUCAGCUCGUAAAUUGCUGGGUUGUAGUUGUGUGCCUCUACUUCUAGCCACUGUUCCACCAGGCCUCUUUCUUCAAUUGUUUUACCCAGAAGUUCGGUUCCUUGAGACCUGUACUUUUCGGCAUAGUACCUCAUGAUAGCUCGCGACUCUGCAAAUGAAUCAUAACCUUGGAACGUUAAACCUAUACCUAGAAUUUAAAACUUGUACCGUUGAAAGUCACUUAUGCCAUGUUUAAGCUCAUAAUUAAUUAGAAAAACUAAAGCAUAAGUAAACAAAUAUUAACAGAAACAUAUCUACCAAUACAAUUUUUAGCUAAUUUUAAAAAAUCACAAACUACCCAAGUAAUCAACUCAAAUCUAAAUCUGAAGACUUGAAAAAGUAUUUACCGUAUAAAAUAAAAUCUCCAUCUUGAAUGACAGGAAGCUCUCCAAAAGGCUGCAUUAUUUUGUUAGAAUUAAAAGCAUAAGAGUCAAUUAAUCAAUUAAUCAAUCAAAACACGAACAUCAAUACACACGAUCUUCGAUUAAUGAAGUAAUUAAAUUAAAUUAAUGAACCUGUAAUUUGAGGUACUCAGGACUUCUCUGCUCUCCUUUGAUGAGAUCAACGGGGACAGUUUCAAAUUCGAUUUCCUUCUCAACCAAGCACAAAAUCACUCGUUUGGGAGAAGCAUAAGCCGGACCGUACACCUUGACCACCAUCGUUGCUGGUGUUAACUUUUUCUGUCGAUAAAAAGCAGCUAUUGAGCUUGUGAUCGUAAUCUACGGGCAGUUUGCUAAUCCCUUUUAUAUAGGCUAAUAUAGUGGCGCCAUAGUGGGAUUUUUCUCUAUUUUUUAAUUACAUAUUAAUUUGCAGCCACCGAUAGGAAUCAAAGUUAUGUCAAGAUAGGCGGCCCAAUCUCGGGCAACUUAGAAGUCAGGAACCCAUUUCAUAUUAUUCUAGUUUUGACUCUAAAGGCCUCACAUGGCCUUGAGUCGGUCUCGGUCUUAGGUCAGCACAUACCAUCAUGUGUACAGUGCAUUGUCUUAUGGUUCAUAAAAAGACAGAAAGAAAAUGAACGUGGUCUCUUUUGCAUUUAGUGUACAAACGUCGCUGUGGUAACUUGACCAUAUUUUUUUGUCUUAUGGAAGGCGACCAUAACCAUUGGAUUUCGGAAGUAGGACACGCAGGCAUUGCAGAAGACCUGAUUGUCCCGUAAACAAAAGGUAAAUUGAAGGGAACAACUUGUGGCGGGGGAUUCCAUUGGUUGAUUUAUAUUACAGGCAGAGGCUUGGUUUAAAGCCUCACCAUAUGAGUGGUUUUAUUAAAAAAUGAAAAAAUUUAUAGCGGGAAUUCCACCUAACAUUAAGGAAAACGAGAGAUUAGUCAUUGUCAGAUUAAACUCAAAUUAUUUGAUUUGAUCACCUAGCAUAAAUGAUCGAUGUUAAUUUAGAAGGUCGGCACAUUUGUGAGACCAUGCAAUGUAAUUGAAAUAUGGUUACUCCGACAAGAGGUGUAAGGCAAAACAUAUAUAGUUUAUUGUACUUGUGAUUAUCACAAGUUAAUUAGACGUAGCCAUACUUCCCAUUUUACAUUUUGCAAGUUAAUAAACAAUGAUAAUUUAAAAAUUAUUAUUGAAACAAAAAUUCGAGGCAUUUCCAUGAGCAUUCUCACUCAUUUCAUAUUCCGAAGAAUUCUUGAGUGCAGACUUCGGCAUAGAUUUUGAUUUUCGUCAAAGAUGAAAAGUAUAUGAAUCCAUUUGCAAUUAAAAACUGAAAAUCUAAUGUGAAGAGAAUAAUAAUGCAUUUGUCUUCUAGAAAGUCUGUCCACCAGAGUAUUGGCCCAUCUUACGCAUGAUGGAGUCCAGAAGCCACCAUUAGGGUAUUUCCCUUGGUAACUCUUCCCCUCAUCUUACUGUAGACCAAAACGCAAACCUAUCAAGGACAAAACUUUAUCCAAUUAAAAUCCAUUCUUUUUAGCGAGAAAUUUUAAAAUACACUAGAAAUAUCACGUAUUCAUGUUAACAAUAUAAUAAAUAAAUGAUCUUAUGAUAUAUACACAUUUAUUUUUAAAAAAAUCACUCUAUAAGUGAUUGUUAAAAAGACUAAACUUAUUUCAUUGAAAAUGAUCAUGGAAAAUUUACCUAUCUAGUUAUUUUUUUAAAAUAAUUAUCUCUUUAUAUAUAUAUAUAUAUCCAUUUUGGGCCAAAUUAUCCAUAAAACAAACCAAACAGAUCUUAAUUCGCAAGCACAACAUCACCCACAUCGCCCCCAUCUCUUUCUGCGGUUUUGCUAGCUUCUACAGCAACUUCUUUUGACAGUCACAGCUUCCAUCGAAAGCAGCAUACUUCCUUCGACCCUUCUAUGGUUUUGGUCAACUGCAUUUCACAGUUUUGAUCGGAUUUACUUCACAGUUUUGCUUGGCUUCACCUCAAGGUGUUGUUAUAUUUUGAUGAAGAGUAGAAAUCCAUAUUAUACUAAGAUUAGUUUCCUUAUUAACUAAAGUUUAAGACUUUUUAAUUUCUUUAUAAUUUAGAAUUUUAUUUCCCUUUCAAUUUAGAAUUUUGAGUUUAAUAAUAUUUCAAUUUUCAAAUCUCUUUGUGAGUAUUUGAACAGUUAAUUCUCGGUAUUCUGCGGAAUCAACGAGUUUUAAACCCUAAAUUCGCGGUAUUCUUUUGAAUCAAUGUGAAUUUAGUUGUUCUUUUGUCCGGUAUUCUCUAGAAUCAACGAAAUAUUUUGAACAUUAAAUUUCCGCUGCAUCAGUUUGGUAUCAGAGCCAAAACCUGAUAUCACCAAUCUAACUCCAUCUACCACCAAACAGAGGCGGAUGCAGCACAUGACUAGUGAGGGCUCAAGCCCCCACUGGCCAAAAAAAAAUUUAAAAAAUAAAAGAAAAAAUAUUUUAAUUUUUAAUUAGUCCCAUUAAAUUUAUUAAAAUAGUCACUAUAAAAUGUAAAACCCAUAAAAUUUAAACUUUGACUUUUAAAAAAUAUAAAAACAUAUAUUUUAAUUAAAAAUAAUGAUAGCCCACUAUUCAAAAUAUUUUAUAUUCUAAAAAAUAUGGUUAAUUCUUCCAGUUUAUAUAAUAAUAGUAGAACGAAUAUUUUCAGUAAUAAAACUCAUGAAGGAUCAUCUUUGGAAUCAAAUGGGAUAAGUGAUAGUUUGGUUGUCUAUAUAACAAACAAUAAAUUUAAUAAUAUUCAUAAUGAGUCUAUUGCAUAAAAUUUUUAAAAUAUAAAAAUGCGUAGAGACUAAUUAUAAAUAUUUUAUAUAUUCAAAAUUUUAAUUUUUUAUAUUUUACUAUUAUCUAAUUUAGCCCCCGGUAAAUUAUUUUUUUAGAUCUGCCACUGCCACCAAACCUUUCCUUUUUUCCUUCUUUGAUUUUUUCCGUUUAGUUAAAAAAAAAAAAUUGAAACAGAACAGAAACAAAACCUUCAGCCCGCGGCCACUGUCCAAGGUUGCCGGCUCUCUUUUUCCGUCACCGAUCCGGACGCAACCACCACUAAACGGAUCAUAAAUCGUCGGCCAUCAAACCCCAAGCAUCUUCCAUUGUCGGUUAGCCACAGAUCGCCAGAAGACAAAGCCAAAACAACCGCGAUCGCCGGAAGACAAAGCCAAAACAGCCGCGAUCGCCGCCACCUCCGUUCACCACUUUCCAGCAUGAUUUGGCCAGAAGCACCACCAUCAAUCCAUUCCUCUCCAUCAACUGAACCUUUCCCACCAUUCCUCACUAUCGAUCGACGCUUAAAUCGCCGGAAACCGAAGCCCUCCAAAACAGCCGGCUUUAUCUAGAAUUUCUGGCCAAAACACCACUUUUUCGGACAAACCACCACCACCACCAUACUUACCAACCCAAAAUCUUUCAGAUCCACCCAUCCUUACUCGAUUUUCGACCACCGUCAUCGGAAAUCUAAAACUUUUGCUUAAUUAUAGUUUCGACCUAAAAUUUUUAUUUACUUUCAGUUUAGCCCUACUACCUUUUUAAAUCCGAAUUUGAAAAAAUGCCUCCAAGAAAAGCUCGCGAUGCUCAUACUGCAACUUACAAUCAAAAAGAUGUUUCUAAAGAUGAAGCUCUGGCUAGUAUGACAGUCAUAAUUGAUAUGUUAGCUCCACAAAUGGCACGAAUGGCAGAGUUACUUGACGAACGCCAUCGUACUCCAGAACGUGAAGACAAAUCAAGUGGAAGCUUUGCUAACCCAUUCUCUGGGCGUCGACCUAGAACUGAGUCUACUGAUGACAGAAGAUGGGAAUCUGGGUUGAGAAUUGACAUUCCUGAAUUUUAAGGAAGUGGUCGACCUGAAGAAUUAUUGGAUUGGAUUAAUGCCAUUGAGGAAGUUUUCAAAUACAAAGAAAUUCCUGAAAAUAAACUAGUUUCGCUUGCUGCAACUCGAUUUCGUGGAAGAGCAGCAGCUUGGUGGCAACAAACUAAGCUCACAAGGAUUAGGCAAGGCAAAAAGAAGAUUGAUUCUUGGGAAAAGUUCAAGAAGCACUUGCGUGGAGCAUUCUUGCCUCAUAAUUACGCCAAACUGUUAUACCAACAGCUACAGAAUUUAAGGCAAGGUAAUCGAUCAGUGGAUGAUUACACUACAGAAUUCUAUUGGUUGGUGGCACGCAAUGACUUGACAGAGACAGAAGGACAAUAGGUUUCCCGUUACAUUGGAGGCCUACGAUCUCAAUUUCAAGACCAAUUAAAUUUACUUAACCCAUACUCUGUUUCAGAGGCACACCAACAAGCCUUGCGGUUGGAGAAGCAAUUUAGUCGACGUACUAAUGACUCAAGCUUUCGGGGUGCUCGAAGUCCUGUUCGUGAUAAUUCAAACCCGACUUUCAAAUUUCGUAAUUUUACUCCUCCAAAUCCUCCAAAUAAAACUAGUAAACCUAGUGAAAUCGGUCAAAGCAGUAAAACCCAAUCCUUAGGUUCGGGAUUAUGUUGUUUUAAUUGCGAAGAAAAUGGGCACCGAAUGACAGAAUGUAAAAAUAGAGGAAAAUAUGGUAAAGGCUUAUUCGUCGGCACAGAGGAAAGCGAAGACUAUCAGGAGGAAGAAACUGAAGAGUUCGUUGUAGAGCCAACUUUUGAUAUAGUGGUAGCGCUCAAUCUGUUGAAGAACAUGGUGAUAGCGGACCAAUGUUGAUCGUGAACCGUGCAUUUUUCACUCCUAAAGGUCAAGACAAAGACAAGUGGCUACGACAAAAUAUCUUUCAGACUACUUGCACAAUUGGGGGUAAAGUAUUGUUGUGCAAAUUUUAAUGUACUCGCAAGCGCACGAAUCUAUUGUAGAAUAGACUAAUGGUGACGAGUGUCGAUCCCACGAGGAGGUGGAUUUUAAUUAUAUGUAGAAUUAAUUUUGUAAAUGGGUGGUUGAAAUUGUGGUAGAAGUGAUUUAAAUUAUCCUAAAAUUAGAAUUGCAAUGGCGAGAAUAAAUUGAAGCGAAAUUUAUUGAAAUGACGUACUUGGGUAUCUGGAUCCGUAUCAACAUGCAUCAUGGGCUAAAUAAUCCGUAUUAAUGCUAAUUAAAUCAUGAGGGGGGAAUCCACACCUCAUGAACCACGCUCUAAUCAAUAUGGUGCUAAGGGCUUAUCGUGCCAAAUAAUAAUAACCUUGUACUAGAGGGCCAGUGAAACUAAGGCGGUACUAGACAAGAUUAGUAUUAUUUAUCGACGAGAAGUCAAAACAUCCACAAAAACUAGAGGGGAAGAGAAAAUAAAUUUACCAAAUUAAGCCCAUGACACAUGUUGAGACUUCACCUUCAACCCAAGCUCGAACGGAAAUUAGCUACUCAUAAUUGAACUAGGGGCAAAAUGAAAAUUUAUUAAAAUACGAAGAAAAUACAAGAUGAAGAGGGAAUUACAGAAAAUGGAUCCCAAAAAUGGAUUCAGAGAUAUCAAAUUAAGGGGGGGAGGCCCCCUUUUUAUAGAUACAUGGAGUAAAUCAUGGCCAUCGGAUUAAAAACAGUUUGGACGCUCAGGAUUGCGCCACAUCAUCAGUCAACAGUCCNNNNNNNNNNNNNNNNNNNNNNNNNNNNNNNNNNNNNNNNNNNNNNNNNNNNNNNNNNNNNNNNNNNNNNNNNNNNNNNNNNNNNNNNNNNNNNNNNNNNNNNNNNNNNNNNNNNNNNNNNNNNNNNNNNNNNNNNNNNNNNNNNNNNNNNNNNNNNNNNNNNNNNNNNNNNNNNNNNNNNNNNNNNNNNNNNNNNNNNNNNNNNNNNNNNNNNNNNNNNNNNNNNNNNNNNNNNNNNNNNNNNNNNNNNNNNNNNNNNNNNNNNNNNNNNNNNNNNNNNNNNNNNNNNNNNNNNNNNNNNNNNNNNNNNNNNNNNNNNNNNNNNNNNNNNNNNNNNNNNNNNNNNNNNNNNNNNNNNNNNNNNNNNNNNNNNNNNNNNNNNNNNNNNNNNNNNNNNNNNNNNNNNNNNNNNNNNNNNNNNNNNNNNNNNNNNNNNNNNNNNNNNNNNNNNNNNNNNNNNNNNNNNNNNAAUACUUAAUUAAAAUAAAACACAUGUAAUUAGAUCACAAGAAGGUUAAAUACAUAAAAGUAAAGGUUGUUAGUAAGACUUAAAAUGUAAAAUGACGAUUUUCUCCUUUAUAAAUAUACAUUUUCUAACACUCAACAAGUAUGUCGUAUGGUCAUAGACUUAGACAGUUGCGAAAAUGUCAUUUCGGAAGAAGCCAUAACAAAGCUAAAUUUAAAGACAGAACCUCAUCAAACUCCAUACAAGCUCACAUGGCUGAAGAAAGGAAAUCAAGUGACAGUAUCGAAACGUUACUUAGUUUCCUUAUCCAUUGGUUCAAUUUAUAAAGACAAAAUUUGGUGUGAUGUUGUGACUAUGGAUGCUUGUCAUCUAUUACUGGGUAGACCUUGGCAAUAUGACCGAAACGUAGUGCAUGAUGGGAAGAGAAACACCUACAGCUUUAUGUUUAACAACACCAAGAUCAUUCUCCUACCUAACAAGGAGUUUACUCUCCAGCAAGACUUGGGUAAUUAUUUGUUAGGCAAGAAGUAAUUUAUAGAUGUUGUAGCAGAGACAAAGAGAGUCUACAUUUUAUUGGGAAAAAAGAGCAACGGUGAUUCGAAGAUUCCUGAAGCUGUGACACCUAUUCUGGCGGAAUUUCAAGAUUUGUUCCCCAAUGAGCUACCACAGGGUUUACCACCUCUUCGGGAUAUACAACACCAAAUUGAUUUGGUACCAGGUUCUACAUUACCAAAUGGACCUCAUUAUCGUAUAAGUCCUACAGAACAUGAGGAAUUAAGGCGCCAAGUGGAAGAGUUACUAGAAAAGGGAUUUAUCCAUGAAAGUCUUAGUCCAUGUGCAGUCCAUGCUUUAUUGACUCCAAAGAAAGAUGGUUCUUGGAGGAUGUGCGUGGACAAUCGAGCUAUCAAUAAAAUUACAGUUCGAUAUCGGUUUCCAAUCCCUCAAUUAGAUGACUUGUUAGAUCAACUCAAUGGAGCAACAAUUUUUACCAAACUUGAUUUGAAAAGUGGCUACCAUCAAAUUCGAAUACGACUUGGAGAUGAAUGGAAAACAGCUUUUAAAAUUUGCGAAGGGUUAUACGAGUGGUUGGUAAUGCCGUUUGGCUUAUCCAAUGCUCCAAGUACUUUUAUGCGAGUCAUGAAUCAAGUUCUUCAUCAUUUCAUUGGAAAGUUUGUGGUUGUUUACUUUGAUGAUAUACUUAUAUAUAGCAUCAGUCACGAGUUACAUCUACAAAUUUGAGAAAAGUGUUUUCAGCCUUAAGAGCAGCAAGUUUAUACACAACAGUAAACAAGUAUAUUUUCUUGACAGAGAAAGUAUUAUUUUUGGGAUAUGUGGUGUCGAAGGAUGGUAUAUAUGUUAACCAAUCAAAAGUAGAUGCUAUUCGAGAUUGGCCUCUGCCAACUACUUUAUCCGCCACCAGAAGUUUCCAUGGAUUGGCCUCUUUUUAUAGGCGAUUCAUUCCUCAUUUCAGUACUAUUAUGGCACCAAUCACGGAUUGCAUGAAAGGAGGACAAUUCUCUUGGACAGAGGCAGCUACUAAGGCAUUCAAGAUCAUUAAAGAAAAGUUGAUUACUGCCCCAGUACUUGCUCUACCAGAUUUUUUACUCACUUUUGAGGUACAUUGUGAUGCUUUUAAGGUCGGCAUUGGAGCUGUUCUUAGCCAAUAGGGUAAGCCUAUAGCUUAUUUCAGUAAGAAGUUGAAUGGAGCAAAGGCACACUACAACACUUAUGACGUGGAAUUUUACGCAGUAGUCCAAGCGUUAAAACAUUGGUGACAUUAUCUAAUUCAUAAAGACUUUGUUUUAUACACUGACCAUGCUGGGUUAAAAUACCUCAAUAGUCAAGACAAGCUCUCUCACAGACAUGCCAUGUGGACAGCAUUCCUUCAACAAUUUCUUUUGUGGUGAAGCAUACCUCUGGUGAAUUCAACCAGGCAGCAGAUGCACUUAGUCGACGAACUUCUUUAUUGACACAGAUGCAUAAUCAAGUUCUCGGAUUUGACACAUUUCGAGAGUUAUAUGCUUCUGAUCCUUACUUUGCUCCCAUAUUAAAAGACGUUGUUGCAGGGUUUCGCUCAGAUUAUCAUUUACAUGACAAAUUCAUUUUCAAGAGUAAUCAGUUGUGUGUUCCUGACUCAAGUUUGAGAUUGAAAAUCAUUGCAGAGUUACCUAACGAAUGGCACAUGGGUCGUGACAAAACUCUAGCUCUAAUAGCCAACACUUAUUUUUGGCCUACUAUGAGGCGUGAAGUCUAUCACUAUGUCGAGAGUUGUCGCAUUUGUCAAGUUUCCAAGGGCGCAACAACUAAUGCUGGGUUAUUUAUGCCGCUGCCGAUUCCAACACAACCUUGGGCUAACAUUAGCAUGGAUUUUGUUUUGGGAUUACCCCGCACUCAGAGGGGUAUGGAUUCAAUAUUUGUUGUUGAUCGAUUCUUGAAAAUGGCUCACUUUAUUGCUUGCAAAAAGACUACAGACGCUUUGACUGUUGCUCGUCUAUUCUUCAAGGAAGUCUAUAGAUUGCAUGGUUUACUGAGUUCUAUAGUAUCUGACCGGGAUAUACGAUUUCUUAGCCAUUUUUGGAAGACAUUAUGGAAGUUGACUAACACUCACCUGAAUUUCAGUAGUGCUUACCACCCACAAACAGAUGGUCAAACUGAAGUUGUCAAUCGCUCUUUAAGAAACCAUCUACGUAGUCUAGUUGGCAAUAACUUAAAGAUGUGGGAUCAAAAGUUAUAUCAAGUCGAGUUUGCUUAUAACCGUGUAGUUAAGCGCAGUACUGGUUUAAGCCCUUUUCAGGUGAAUUACGGAUAUAAUCCACGAGCUCCCAUCGACUUGGCUCCAAUUCCAGAUUUAGUUCGCAAAAGUAGUAAAGCAUAAGACUUUAUUGAGUAGCUUAAGAAAAUUCAUGAAACUACGCAAGAGUCUUUAAAGCAGACAACCGAAGGUUAUAAAAUUGUGGCAGACAAAAAACGUCGAGCUUUGAAAUUUCAAGUGGGAGAUCUUGUUUGGGCUGUCCUAACUAAAGAUAGAUUCUCAGUUGGUGAGUACAACAAGCUUUCUGAUAGGAAAAUCAGCCCUUUGGAGAUUAUAGAGAAGAUAAAUCCUAAUGCCUACAGAUUAAAGCUUCCUAGUCAUAUCCGCACCGCAAAUGUAUUUAAUGUCAAGCAUCUUAUUCCUUAUAGAGGUGAUCAUGAUGAAAAUGUUGUUGCUGACAAUCCAAGUUCGAGGGCGAAUUCUCUCCACCUUGGGGGGAAUGAUGAAGAGUAGGAAUCCAUAUUAUACUAAGAUUAGUUUCCUUAUUAACUAAAGUUUAAGACUUUUUAAUUCCUUUAUAAUUUAGAAUUUUGUGUCCCUUUCAAUUUAGAAUUUUGAGUUUAAUAAUAUUUCAAUUUUCAAAUCUCUUUGUGAGUAUUUGAACAGUUAAUUCUCGGUAUUCUGCGGAAUCAACGAGUUUUAAACCUUAAAUUCGCGGUAUUCUUUUGAAUCAACAUGAAUUUAGUUGUUCUUUUGUCCGGUAUUCUCUAGAAUCAACGGAAUGUUUUGAACAUUAAACUUCCGCUGCAUCAUAUUUCCAUAGUUUAUUUUUUAAUUGCUGAUUAAAUUAUUUGUUUGAUGGGUACAUGUGAUAAUAAGGAAUAUGUACUGGGCAUGAAAAAUUUUAACUUUUGUUAAGAUUAGAUUAUGCCACGAAUGACACAUCAAGUGUUUGCUAAAAUACCUCUAAAGAAAGGAUUAUUUCAAUUAUAUUGUUAAGUGCACUGGGCAAUUAGGGUGAUGGGCUAAAAUACAUCUCUAAUUAUACACUCUUUAAUAUUAAAAAUACCUACGGACACUACGAGAAAGAGAUGAAAGCAUCCCAAUUAGGGUGAUGGGCUCCAUUCACAUGAGUGUUAGGCUCUAUUGCCCCUGUGCAAUGGAUUGGCUAUCUAUAUACAAACAAACAAACAUACAUACAUACAUACAUACAUACAUACAUACAUACAUAAUUUAAAUAUUAUUCUAAUAUGUAUCUUAUUUAAUUUUCAGAUAUAUCUUACAACAAAAUACAGCCUUGGAUAGUAAUGAUACCAACUAAAGGUGCCCAACGAGCUGGGUGGCACGUGACAUAGCACAGGCACGGCACAAGCACAUUUCGACAAAGCACGCGGCACGACACGGCACUCACGUGGACUGGGUUGAGCUCAGAUUUUUAGGCAUGUGAACGUUAAAAGCACGACACAAUUAGCGGUGGGCCAUCGUACGGCACGAAAAAAGACACGUAAUAAGCACACUUAAUUGAUGGGUUAGCACGCAACCCGUGUGCCAUCAAUAGCACGUGGGUCAAAGUAUAUCAAAGUAAUUUUUUUAAUAAAAAGUAAAAAAUAAGAAUAUUAUGAUUUUACACAUAUAUUUAAAAUUUAAAAUUUAAAUAUAUUUUAUUAAAUUAAUUUAAGUCUUAGUUUUAAAAAAUUCUAAUUGUUUUAUGUUUAUCAUUUAUUAAAUGAAUAAAUAAAUAUCAUAAUUUUAAUAAAUAAAAUUAUAAAUAUCACGAUUUUAUAAAUGAUAUAUCAAAAUUUUAUGACAAUUAAUAUUUCAUUUAUGAAAUCGUAACUUAGUUAAUGGACAUAUGUUUCAUUUGUUAUUUGUGAAUAAAAUAUUUUUCAUAUUUAUACACAAAAAAAUUAUGAACGAAAUAUUUUUUUAUUUUUUAUGAUAAAUUAAAAGUUUCAUUUUCAUUCAAUGGGGUUCAAGUCCAAUUAUAAUAUUAAUAGUUCAAAUAAAAUUAGGUGUAAUUUACUUCAUUGAAGUACAAAUAAUAUUGUUAUGUUAUAAUUGAAUUGGUAAUUGUGAAAUUAAAUAUUUAAAUAUAUAAGUUACGGAAUUGUGAUAAAUUGAUAAUAAAAUGUUAAAUUUUCUUUUAAUAAUUAAUAAAAAUUAUUAUAAUUAUUAUUGUUGUUGUUGUUAUUAUUAGAUGGGCUGAUGGGCUUGGAAAACGCACGUGGGCUUAAACAAACCAUGCCAGGCACGUGGACUUAAAAUUUGAUGGGCCUUUUUUGGGCGGUUGGGCUUAACAAAAACAAUUAGGCACGCCCCACCGUGCCAGCCCGUGGGCCUUUACGGGCCUGGGAUUGAUGGGCCGUGAGGCCUUUAAUACCAAAUAGGAGUCACUUCUCAAGUGUUGUGGAGUAGGGUGUUUAUAAAUUACUAGUUGUUUUGGGUUUGUUUAGUUUGUUUUAAGGAUAAUUUAUCGACCAUGGUUGUAAGUGAUCAUUACAGUAAUAAAUUUUGUUACAUACUUAAUCUUAAUAAUGAUUUUAUGAAAAUGACUAAAGAGGUAAAUUUCUCAAUAAUCAUUUCCAUGAUAAUAAUUCAUAUUGUCAAGGAUUUAAUGUAUGCAACAAUAAAAUAAAAUUGUAGAGAUACAAAUUGAAUCGCCAAGAAUGUUUUCUUAAUAUAUUUAUUUUGGUUUAAUUUAAAUUUAAAUUGCAUGUUAUCCUUUUAAUUAAUCAGCUAAUUAUUUUGAGUGAACUUAGGGAUUGUAGGGUCUAAUUUCACUCCUAUUCUUCUAGCACAAAAAUAACUUAUUAUCUCUUUGAAAAAAAAAAAAAAUCGCUACAUGAAAGACCAGGUUUACAAAUUACACUAGAAAGUAAUAAACAGAAACGAAUUUUUUAACAUUUGCGAUAUUAAAAUUCCAAUUAAAUAAUGUAUUAAAAAAAACUAUUUGUAUUCAUAAAAAAAAGUACGAUAAUUUGUAUUUAAAUAAAAUCAAAUUUGGAUCGGGUUCACAAGGGUCCCGGUCCGGAAGCGAGGAGAUGGAGAAGGAUGGAUAUGUCGAUAGAACCUUCAGAGCUGAGCGCAUCAUCACAAGGCCCGAAAAAGGGAGAAGAAAUUGGAGGGAAUUGCAAAGAGAGGUGUGAAGAGAAAAAGAAGACAAUAAAUACGAGCAGCGAAGCAAAAAUUGUAGUGUUUCAGAUUGAAAACUAUAUUACUUGAUUAAAAGGACAUCAUGAUCCCCUCAGGUUUUCGUAUCCACAUGUUAUUCGCCGCUUCCAGUAUUCAUACGGCCUUCUUUCUCUUUCCUCUCUCCGUAAAACCCUCAAUCCCCCAUUCACGGUUCCUGCAGAUUGAAGGUUUAUCUGAUUAUAAACAACAAAUUUUUUUGGAUCUUCAAUUUGCCCCUGCUAGUUUUCUAGUAUUGCAAUUUGACCCCAUCCCUUUUGCUAUUUUACUACUAUCCAAGAAAUAAAUUGGGGUUGGUAAAAAAGCCCUCGCCAGUUCGGCCCAAGUCCACAUGGAUUGAACUUGUAUAUAUGUGGAUUGAAAAACAUAAAGAUUGUAUAGAUUAAAAUUUGAAUUUAUAAAUAAAAAAACAUAAAUUAAAUUAAAAAAGAAAAAAUUUAAAAUAUUAUAUUAAUAUACAUUUUUUAUUUUGUAUGUUGAAUUAUUAUUUUAUUAUGUAUUAGAUAAUUAUUUUUAAAUUAAAUUCUUUUAUUUUAUUAAAAACUUAUUUCCAAAUUUAAUGGAGAGUCUAGGUCAGUCCAGGCCCAAUCCAAGCCUGGCCCGUCUGAGUUUCAAUGAAUUUUUAAAGGAUUGAACCUAUUCUUGAUAACUUGCGCCAGAGCUUGAAAAAGUCCGGCCAAACCCUUAAUUUACCAACCCUAAAAUAAACCAAUACAAAAAGCAUUAUCUACUGUAGAGUGCAUGAUAAAUUUGGUCGAACUCCACGGACAUACUGAUAACGGAUAGCUUAGAUGAACAUAAAAAUGUGUGCUUCAAUGCAUCAUUGAUGCACAAAGUUGUAUUGUUUGAUUUACAUUGCACUUAACUCCAACAUGUAACCCAACACAAAAGAGCUAUCGAGUUCGAUGACUUUCCGCACACAACCACGGUAUUUCACAACAUAAAACUCUUUCAAUUCAAGUUCUAGAAACUCAAUUCAAUUGACAACUCGAUGCCAAACUGUAGAGUAAAGACACUUGGCAAACGUCGUUAGUAUGAAACAACCGACUUGGAAUGUGAGGAAGGUCGCAACUGAGAAAGAGCUGUAUCGGCUUCUUCGGUGUCUUCAAAAACAACGGGGUUCUCCUUUAUGUUCUUCCUGAAAAUCAGACAACUAAAACAAUCAGAACCCAACAAUCCAAUGUAUUUUUAAUCCUCAAAUCUAUGUUGUUGAAUUGGGCUGAUUUUAUCUUUGAAACAUCAGUUCAUUUUGUGAAAUAUUACCCUCUCAGUUAUUCUUUACCACUCAGGACAAUGCUACAAACAUUCAAUCGCAUUUUUUCCAGGUGCAUAUCACAUUAUGGAAUGGCUAAACAGAAGUAAAUCAAUGAAUCAGUUCCUUAGAUGCCCUACCAGAAGAAUAGACACAAGAGAUAUAUACCUUUGAGAGAUGAAAGUCUCUUCGGACAAUGCCUUUUCUAACCUCUCCUCAAAUGGUGUCGCAUGCCAACUCACUUUCUGAUCCUGCAAAGAAAACAAGCCAGUCCUUGCAGCAGCAUUCUUCAGGCAAAUUUAAUGAAUUGAAAAGGAGAAAAGGGAGGAUUAGAGCACCUCCUUGUAUUUAUUAGUUGAAUUUGGAAUGCCAUUCCCAUCCCACCAUUUGGGCCCAAUCUGAGGAGUCUCUUCCUCAAUCCAGUGAGCAGCAACCAUCCCGAUUAUAGGCCUAUCUCCUGGAUUUCUAGCAAAGUGAGAAUUUUUCCUGGAAGAACCCCCUGUACUUUUACUAUUAUCAUCACUAGUGGAUGCUGCUGGCUUCAACCAUGCUGACAAGCUUGCCUCUACCUUCAAAUCUUUGCCAACUGAACUUCCUUCUACCCCUGUGUCUAAUUCUGGAGUUGCAUUUUCAAUAGAUUCUUUGAGCUCACCUGAUAAUUCAUGUGAGUCAAAACCCUCUUCCUCUAGUGCCUUCAAUUGUGAAACACUCUCAACUGGGUUCCAUACUGAGUACACAUACUGAGACCUGAUUCGAGUAUUCCCAUCUGCCAAACUUUUAAGGUUUGUAGGGUAAACAGUUCCAGGUGUUUGCAUAUCAUCAGAAAGCUUUAGUGGCGUAGGAUUAGGUGAAUUCUUUGACACAUUCUCAUUGUCUGGGGAUUCAUAUUUCCUGCAAAUCUGACUGAUAUUGCCAGAUGAAGAAUCUUUAGAGGAAGAUGCAUCAGAAUCGAAUUCAAAACGCACAGAUUUGUUCCUGCACUGGGCAUUUGUGCCUGAAAUCCAAGGUGAAGCAGAUGCAAUACUGCCAGAUUGAUUAGAGUUAACCAUCACUUCAGGAUUAGCAUUCCCUGCAACAUUGCAAUCAGUAGAGCUGAUAGAGAUACGUCCAGUUGUUUGUGCAUUGGAUAUACAGCUGCAAAAAAUGACAUGAAACAUGUGUCAGACAUCUACAGGAUUUUCCGAAAUGAAUUUUGGGGAAAAAAUUAAUAGUGAAAUCAGGUUGAAAGCAUUUCCAUUUCUAAGGUUUUGGUAUUUCAAGAACAUAAAGGACAAGAAAGUUGCAGAGAGCAACCCGUUUUUGAUGACUGAGAAACCCCUGCCAUCAAGAGUUAUGAGCAAUGUAACUCCAUUACAACUAAGUUUUAAAGGAAAUUAUUAAGCAUCAAUUCGUUGCGACAAUUUGUUAAGCUAUAACUCCAACCUGCUAGGUGUGUGUUCCAAAGAAGGUGAUUCUCUUCCCCAUUCUUCAGAAAGUUUGAUGGGAGAAGGGGGCUGAUCACAUUCCCUUCCCAGAUGAAGUUUCGUGAUCGAUGUAUUAGGAAGCCAAGAAUGGAACUUUGAAGAUUCUUUAUCUUUUCCAGAAGAGGGUGAACCUUUUAAUUUUUGAGAUGCUUUCCGAAUUUCAGCAGGAGUCUCAAUUAGAGUGCCACAAGCUUUAAGAAACUUGGCCUGUAAAAUGAACUUUAUACAAUCAAGAAAAGUUCAAUAUAUGCAAAAGUUUGAUCUAAGAGUACUGAUAUAUAGAUAUACCCAUCAAAACUACUUUGAAAAAACAAAAUUAUAACUGUAUAAACCAUUAAAUAAAGGAUUAACUGUGACAAGCUCAAACUUCAAAAGAUUAUAUUGCAGAAUCUCCCAUCAAAAUUUUAUUUUUUCUAAUUUUAAAGUAUUUAAAAAAUUUUAAAAAAAAACUCAAGCCUCCAUUUGAAACGUAUUUAAGUAAUUAAGCGUCAUUUGUCCUCCUUAACACAUUUAGGCAUAUGCUAAAAGGUCUUCUAUAAUUUCAAGGGUUAGAAAAUCAUUUUACCACAUUAUUAUCUAAAAACCGUAACCAGUUUUGAAAGAAACUGAACUACUGAAAAGCCAGUUGCUCUCCAUUACAACCUUCAUCUACCCAAUCUGAACCCUUGUUGAAUUAAAGGAGAUAUUGCAGUGUUUGGCCAGAAAGAAAAAGAAGGAAAUUAAAAAAUGAAAAUUGAGAGAGCAGAGAUACUUUUAUCAUCUAAACUAAUUGAAUACAACAAAAGUGAUACAUCUAAUAUUUAUUGUAGUAGCUCUUAUGUAAAUUCUGAAAUCUAAAAAACAUUGAUAAUUUGUAAAUUCUGAAAUCUAAAUCACAUUGAUACUUCGCUAACUAAUCUUCUGUUUAACAAACUAAUGAGCUGCAGAUAAUCUAUUUCUUCUAAGUCGGUUUGGUAAACCUCUGCCAACGUGUCACUUUCUGCCACCUCAGCAUUAAACAAGCUCAGCACAUUUGCUCAAGUCAACAGGAUUUCAGUAUUAUAUUCAGAUACUCUUAACAGAGUAUUGCUAGUUAAAGCUAAAAUAGUGAAUAAUCCGUACAUCUCCAGCUCUAUACAACUAAUUUCAAAUUCCGGCCAAUUCAAGUCCCAAAUCAACAUCGACAACAAAAAUGUGUCUUUUUCAUUGAUCGCACACCGGCUUCCACAUACAUAAUCAAAACUCAAAACAAACAAAUCAAUCAUUACCUCGUCCUUGAGGCUCUUAUCAAUUUCUGGAGACUCCAAACGCUGACUUUCAAUAUCAUUGCUCCAAGACUCUUCUUUUUCUAUCAAAAACAAACACAAAUGAACUCUAAUUUUGAAACAAACAAAUAAAUAAUAUUCAAAAAAAAAAGAAAAAAGAAAUAAUAAUAAGAGCAAAAUUCACCUUCAGAUAAAAACAGAGAGGACAAACGAUUUUUCGAUAUCACAGCUUCCUGAUCAAAACAAGCAGAAAUACAAAAUGUCGAGUCCAUCAAUUUCUAGCAUAAACCCUAAAAAUCGAAGCAAAAUGAAGCUUACCGUGUGUUUAUUAGGUCGAGUAGUAUGAGAGAUACGAGCUCGGUCGUCUCUGAUACGAAAGCAACCGAAGAAACAGCCCAUGGCUCUCGAAACGGUGACGUCUAGAAACCUCACCACCAAUCUGCAAACACGCCCGAUUUCUCGAUGAUUCAGCAAUGAGCUUAUCAUAAUAUCAUCUCUCUCCUCUCUUGAUUUUGCCCUUGUCAGUGUCAAUAAUGAAACCCUAUCUUUUUUUUCUUUUUUUCCUUAAACUUUUGAUUUCUUUUUGGUGGAUUUUAAUUAAUCGGCCAAUUAACAACAGUGAGAGAGUUGUUGCGUUGUUUUUGAAAUUUGAACUAAUCCGGACGAGGGAAAACAAAUUGCCUCCCAAAUUGAAAAAUAAUUCGAGUAUUGCGACGCGUAUGGUAAUACGAUAACUCGCUUUGUAAAAGUGCCACGUGUAUAUAACUUGCCAUUAAUUGUUGAAGCGGCGAGUGCUACGUACGUUUCGAGUCUCGAGGAGGAAGGAAUGUUAUUGCAGAUUAAUUUGCGGUUAAUGUCAGAUUAUGGGAUCAGCCUAAUGUAAUAAAUUAUUUUUUUGUCUAUUUUUUUAAAAUUAAAACUUAAAUUAUAAUAGUGAUAAUAAAUUUGGAUUAAAUUUCCCGUUUAAAGAAUUGCUUAAUGAUAUAUCUAGUUUAAAUCAAAUUCAAAUUUAAAUGCAUAACAUUUCCUCUAAAAAAGAAAUGGAAGCUGAUUUACUAUCUUAAAUCAAAUCUAUGAUAGUUCAGUUUAAAUAUGUAUUGUCUCUUAAAAUUAACUAUUUCACGACGUAAUAUGGAUAUUAAAAAAAAGGCACGAAAUAACUCGAAUUCUAAACUUCAACAAUAAGACAAUAAAAUGUCUACUAUUUAAUUAAUUAUUAGUUUGUCAUUUAUGAAUGGUUUUAUAUAGUAGAGAAAUGACAUGCAAUUUAAAAUCAAUUUUGAUAGAGUUUCUCAUUUGUCAUGAUUUUUAGAGUCAAAAGAAUACUUUUGAAAAGAAUUUUUUUAAAUGGUUUUGUCAAAAGAAGUAAAGAACUACUCCAAAGCAUUUUUGAAAAUACUUUUAAAGAUGUCGAAUAUACUUUAAGUGUUUGUUUGAUAUAUCUUAUCUAAUAGUUGCAAGUACUUAUUUAAUCUUGUACGCUUUCAUAAAAAAAAAAAUUUUCAGCAAGACUUUUGAAAAUUAAGUAAAUUAUUUUGUCUUUACUAGUAAAAACUUAAAUUUUUAACUUCUGAAAGAAGAUGUUGAAAUUUUUUUAAAUAUUAAAAUAUCUAAAAUAUUCUUUACUUAUUUAACAAUCUUAUUUUAUUCUUUUCAUAACAUAACUUUUAAAAAAUUAUCUACUAAAAAAUUUUUAUAACUUUUAAUAAAAAUUCUCAUUGACAAUUAAACAACUAUAAUUUUUAGGUUAAAGUUAUAUUUGUAAAAGCUCUAUUAAUAUAAAUUUUAUUUAAAUAAGCCAUCGGUCAAUUUAUGGUCCGCCCCUAGUUAUUUGGACAUGUUUCACCAUGCACCCAACUCUUUCAACAAAUCCCACUACACACUCGAUUCCAUUAAAUCCACCCUUAAAUUUAAUAGUUUAAUUAUUUACACAAAUUUGAAUGUGUCCUUUCAACGUUAGAAUAAACACUCAAAUUGAUAGAUGUGGGUGUACGGUGAGACUGGUCAAAAAUAUUUGGGUACAGAUUGUGAUAUGUCGAAACAUAUCGGGGUGGACAAAAAAUCAUCAUUUUUUUUAAAAAAAAAUAAAUAUAUAAAACUCGCUUGUGGCCCGUUGAACUGUUAAGAUUGUGGCAUGACCCAACCCAAGCAUGAAGCAGAAAUUAAAUUAAACUUUUGUGGGUCAGGCUGACACAUCACCACUUACGAAUCUAAAACUCGCUUAUGUUACUAAAUGGGUACUUAGAUUUUGAUAUUUCUUAAUGUAAUGGAUGAAAAUAAGUUUAACGUAAAAUGAGGUACGGGUGUAAUAGUUAUUUAUAAAAAAAAUUAUUUUUAAUCACAUAUUUACUUAUUUUUUAAAUAAGUCCUCAUUAAUUUUGUAUAACUAAAUGAUUUUGUUGUCCAUCUAUUCUACAUUUAUUUUUAAAUUUUUUUAAAGUUUUCACCAUAUUUUAUAAAGAUUUAAAUGAUUAUUAUAUUUAUAAAGAUCUACAAAUUUUGUAUAUAUUUUACAUCUGCGUUUAUAAUUUCUUGUCUAUCUUAAGACGUAAACUAUAUUUUUUGCUUCUAUAUAUAUAUAUAUAUAAAUUUUGUAAUCUGAAUUUAGCAUCGUGAAUUAUAAGAGAUAUUAUAUGUCAUAAAUAUCUUAUGAAUCUAAUAAAUUACUAGAAAGAUGGUACAAUGAAUAAAUCACCAGAACCUCUAAAAUUUCACAAAUAUAGAAACUAAUAAGUUACCACAAUUUAGUUAUACUCAAAGAGGAUUUUCUUAUGAAAGAUUUCAAUUUUUUUAAUCUGAUCAAUGAUUCAGACACAUGGGAAAAUAAUCAAAUAAAUUAAAUUUCACUAUAUUUAUUAAAUAAAUUAGGAAACUCAAAUU
rnacentral:lncRNA from 1 species